ensembl:lncRNA
GGCAGAUCCAGCCAAAGCCCUUCAUUCUUCAUUCAGUAUGGAGGAAAAGCUGAUCAGCGCCGUGGCUAACCACCCCGAGCUAUAUGAUGCCAGCUCCUAUUUCUACCGAGACAGGAAUAAAAAGGACCUAGCUUGGAGACACAUAAGUGAGGAGAUCGGGCAACCUGAGGACAUCUGCAGGAGAAAGUGGAAGAGCCUCAGGGACACAUAUAAUAAGGAGAAGAGGUCAGAGAAGGAGAAGAGGAGUGGGUCUGCAGCAGGAUCGGGGAGGAGAUGGAAGUUCUUCGCGGUCAUGGGGUUUCUGGACCCCUUCCUCACCCCGCGGGAGACCAGCGGAAAUAUGGUGCGGACCGUGGAGAACUUCUCCCCCGAGGACCAGGGACAGCCCGAAGAGGCAGCAGGGGAGUGUCAGUCAGAAGAGUCAAGUUAUCAUGCAGCAGAGUCCUCCCCUGUUGCUUCUCCUGACUCCCCAGUCCCUGGUCCCUCCACUCCUGCUGCUGCACCCACAGGCCCACAGAGGAGGAGAGCUCGAAGGCGGUCGAGGGAAGGG